CGGGGAGGGAGGGAGUAAAAGAUAUGAGAGUUCCUUCAUUUGCUCUUUAGUUCCUCCAUUCCUUCCUUCAGCCCAGGGUGCUGGUAUUCCGAGGUGGGAAGGGAUCAGAACCCAGGUUGAAGGGCAGAUACCGAGUGCAUCAUCCUAUUUGAUCCAAUUCUGGUCUAUCCUGGGAUCUAGUAUAGGGGAGGCUGGGCAGAGCAAAGCGCAAGUUCAGUUCAGCUUGGCAGCCAGAGCUGUGUGGCAGGAUGCGCAAUACUGAGAGGGAGGAGCUGUUACUAAUGGGUGGACACCCCUGCCUGAUCAGAUGGCUUUAGGGGGUUAAAAAAAUAAAGCCAACAGGGAAGUAUUGGAAGCUAAUUAAGUAUAAAAAGCCUUUAGUAAGGUGAUUAGAAGGAAUCUCAUAACCGGAAGUGGACUAUGUUGGGCGGGUACAGGAGGAGCCUCUCUAAGAAAGCAAGCUUGAGUGACAGGAAAUUCCACCUUUCCCUGAAGGACUCGGGGAGCUGCAGGGUCUGGAAGUGGGGGUGGAAGACCCCGGCUUUUAUUGGGUUACUUGAAAAUUCCAUUAAGCCUCAGUUGCCUUCCGGGCUCAUUCUCAAAGGGUCAGCAGCGCAGCAGGGGAACCUCCCAGGUCUCCCACUGCCCAGACAGAUCUACUCACCUGUGAAUCAACUAAGAACCCCGGAUGGUGAAGAAAGAGUAAAGACUCCAGUUUUAAGAAGAAUUCCUGUGUUUGUUCCUGAUACAGAAACUUGGAGAAGAGCAAUAAGAAGAAUGAAUUCUGCUUUGGUAAAUGAUCCCCAGGUCAGUGUCCUGUCCUCCUUUCUCUAA
rnacentral:lncRNA from 1 species